UAGGGAAUCUUCCACAAUGGACGCAAGUCUGAUGGAGCAACGCCGCGUGAGUGAAGAAGGUUUUCGGAUCGUAAAGCUCUGUUGUUGGUGAAGAAGGAUAGAGGCAGUAACUGGUCUUUAUUUGACGGUAAUCAACCAGAAAGUCACGGCUAACUACGUGCCAGCAGCCGCGGUAAUACGUAGGUGGCAAGCGUUGUCCGGAUUUAUUGGGCGUAAAGCGAGCGCAGGCGGAAUGAUAAGUCUGAUGUGAAAGCCCACGGCUCAACCGUGGAACUGCAUCGGAAACUAUCAUUCUUGAGUGCAGAAGAGGAGAGUGGAAUUCCAUGUGUAGCGGUGGAAUGCGUAGAUAUAUGGAAGAACACCAGUGGCGAAGGCGGCUCUCUGGUCUGCAACUGACGCUGAGGCUCGAAAGCAUGGGUAGCGAACAGG
rnacentral:rRNA from 1 species